CAAAACUGGUUCGAACCGGUUUAGUUCUUAUAUUGCAGUGUAUAAACUACAAAAACAUUCGUUUGCAUUAUACAUUCGCCAUUUUACACUGCAACCGCCCGGUUGUCCUCCGUUAUCUCUCCACUAAAACCCGCUUUUUCGGUUAUUUUUUGGUGAGCUUUCUGCUCAUUUUCUGUCAACAACAUGGGAAAAGCAAAGAAAACUGUCCCUGUUGAGCAAACAAGGAAAUCUGCUCGGCUGAAGUUGCUGAAAACGUCACUUCCAGCAGUGGAGAAGAAAAGGGCCCCUGCAAAAAGGGGACCCAAAGAAAAGAAGGCUAAGGGAGGUGAAAAUGCCAACGCCAAGACUGAGGAUCCAAAGGUCGAAGCAACUGAGCCAACUGAAUAAGAGAUGAUGUGCUCACUCUGUGUACUUGGUGAUUGUACAGUUUUAAAUAAGUAUUUUUUACCAAGUUUUAUAUUACAAAUGUCAUUUAUAGGUUUGUUUUUGGCUUGCACUUGAUGUAACGAAAACUGUCACACUCAUAUCUGCUUAAAAACGAUUACCGUCCAUAUCUUGUAGACGUGGCAUUCUUAGUUUGUCUAAUUCUCUAUUUUUUUUUUUAACUGCUGAGUAAUAGGUAUUUUCAACAAGCCUGGUUUUGAAUCUAAUUUUAAACUUAUUAUAAGGCAGCUAAAGCAUAUUGUUAAAAUUGAAGGGGGUGGGAUUUUUUCCAUUUGCUCCUUGUAUUUUAAUGUUGAACUAAUACAAAAAAGAUCGCUUACCAAAUGUUUAAAAACACUGUAUGUUGACAUGAGUUAUAGUAAUUGAAAAUGCCACAGAAAAAAAAAUACUGUUAUUAGGUCAGAAAAUUGACAUAUCCCAAAAAAUAUGUAUGUUGUGAACCCGGUCAUCUUGAUAAGAAAUUAUCUUAAGUUAUGUUCUGUUAAGCGAACAGUAUGCUUUUCUGAUUCAAUGUUUGAUCUAAAUGUUCUUAAAUAAAAAUUUCAAAAUGUCA